rnacentral:rRNA from 1 species
UUAACACAUGCAAGUCGAACGGUGAAAGAGAGCUUGCUCUCUGGAUCAGUGGCGAACGGGUGAGUAACACGUGAGCAAUCUGCCCCUGACUCUGGGAUAACAGUUGGAAACAGCUGCUAAUACCGGAUACGAGCUUCGAAGGCAUCUUCAGAAGCUGGAAAGAACUUCGGUCAGGGAUGAGCUCGCGGCCUAUCAGCUAGUUGGUGAGGUAAUGGCUCACCAAGGCGUCGACGGGUAGCCGGCCUGAGAGGGUGACCGGCCACACUGGGACUGAGACACGGCCCAGACUCCUACGGGAGGCAGCAGUGGGGAAUAUUGCACAAUGGGCGCAAGCCUGAUGCAGCAACGCCGCGUGAGGGACGACGGCCUUCGGGUUGUAAACCUCUUUUAGCAGGGAAGAAGCGAAAGUGACGGUACCUGCAGAAAAAGCGCCGGCUAACUACGUGCCAGCAGCCGCGGUAAUACGUAGGGCGCAAGCGUUAUCCGGAAUUAUUGGGCGUAAAGAGCUCGUAGGCGGUUUGUCGCGUCUGCUGUGAAAACUGGAGGCUCAACCUCCAGCCUGCAGUGGGUACGGGCAGACUAGAGUGCGGUAGGGAGAUUGGAAUUCCUGGGUGUAGCGGUGGAAUGCGCAGAUAUCAGGAGGAACACCGAUGGCGAAGGCAGAUCUCU